ACGAACGCUGGCGGCGUGCUUAACACAUGCAAGUCGAACGGAAAGGCCCUGCUUUUGUGGGGUGCUCGAGUGGCGAACGGGUGAGUAACACGUGAGUAACCUGCCCUUGACUUUGGGAUAACUUCAGGAAACUGGGGCUAAUACCGGAUAGGAGCUCCUGCUGCAUGGUGGGGGUUCGAAAGUUUCGGCGGUUGGGGAUGGACUCGCGGCUUAUCAGCUUGUUGGUGGGGUAGUGGCUUACCAAGGCUUUGACGGGUAGCCGGCCUGAGAGGGUGACCGGCCACAUUGGGACUGAGAUACGGCCCAGACUCCUACGGGAGGCAGCAGUGGGGAAUAUUGCACAAUGGGCGGAAGCCUGAUGCAGCAACGCCGCGUGCGGGAUGACGGCCUUCGGGUUGUAAACCGCUUUCGCCUGUGACGAAGCGUGAGUGACGGUAAUGGGUAAAGAAGCACCGGCUAACUACGUG
rnacentral:rRNA from 1 species